rnacentral:rRNA from 1 species
AUGGAUGUGAGGCCUUGUCUAUUCAGGAAGGGUCACGUGGUUAUAGUGGAGUGUGAUGGCUUCACGAACGUGUCUGACUAUGCCUAUGAUAAAAUCCAGGUCUGGGCAAGAACCAAGGGACUACUCGAUGGUCUUAGGGGGAAUAAGGAUUUGGAUGUGAAGGUUGGUACGGAAGUGGGAGAACCAACGAUCACGGUGGUGGUCAAUGAAGGAAAGAUUAAUCCGUCAAGCUUUCUUCGUGCAAGAGUUUAUGUUGAUGUCAACAAGCCACUGGUGAGAUUUGUGCCAAUCACUUCUAUGGAGACGAAUAAAUGCCAUGUUUAUUAUGAAAAAACUUCCAGAUUUUUGCUUCUUCUGCGGGUGUAUGGGCCAUGUGGUGGAAGAAUGCGGUGA